CCCGCCUCGGGCGCCACGCAGGCAGCGCUCCCGGCGGGGCGCCCCGCUCUGCGCCGUUCCCUCCGCCGUCGCCCAGCCACCGCCUUUCGCACGCGCCGGAACCGCUUUUGUGGUCUCCGAGACACUCAUUUGCUGUCCUGGUUUCCAAAGCUCCACGUGCUCAGCGCCGAAAACUUGCAAAUCAUUUGCUGUCUAUACUGGGCGCCCGCUGCGUGCCAGGUACUGCCACCGGCUCUCUCCUCACGGUGGAAUAACUUAACAGAGAAGACAGACAUCAAUCAAAUACCCUGGAAACGUGGAAGGCAGGGGAAAGAACAAAGGGAGAGCAAAAUCGCCCCAAUCCCACAUCACCCGCGACGUGAAAGGAUUUGUCCUUCCAGCUGCGGGACUCCUAUUUGUUUAUUUCAACCCCGCGCCAGCUCCAGGCACAGCCGUUCAGGGUGAUGCCAAAGGGAAAUGAGAACGCCUGGUUUCGAGUGCCAGCCUGAGGCCCCUUAAGCCCUAGGUACGCAGCUCUCUCUUCUUUCUUAAACUUUCCAGCCCAGGAAAAUCACCCUUCGGUUUUACAGAUGCGAUAGGGCGUUAUUGUGAUUCCUUCAUUCACGUAAACAUGAAUUGAGUGUCUAGUGGGUUCCAGGCACACCAGGAAAGAAUAAGUGACAGAUUUGCCCUCCAUCUCUCAUCCUAGCCUGGCUCCAAAAACUGCAGCCUGUUUCCCUCAACAAAAAUGACGUCAAGAAUACCUAGAUGUGACCACACCGAACUUGCUUGCCCGUUUUGGGAAACCCAACUUUCUUCCUGAAUAGUCAGAACCUCUGGCUUUCCUGGUCUCUUAAGAACCGCAAACUAUUGAAAAGCAGAUGCGUCUUUCAGCCUCUUUAAUAAAUGCAGUAAGGAGAGUUGGGACAGAGUUACUUUCAGACUGUGGGGCUCCCCCGUGCCAAAGCAUUCAGACGAAAUGUGGGGGAUAGCGGGGGGAAGGCAGGCAAUUAUCUGAAUGUUAAACAGCUGAAUAUUUGGAAACCCCAAUCU
rnacentral:lncRNA from 1 species